CGGCAGGCUUAACACAUGCAAGUCGAGGGGCAUCGGGAGGGAAGCUUGCUUUCCUUGCCGGCGACCGGCGCACGGGUGAGUAACACGUAUGCAACCUGCCCUCUUCAGGGGGACAACCUUCCGAAAGGGAGGCUAAUCCCGCGUAUAUCGGUUUCGGGCAUCCGAGAUCGAGGAAAGAUUCAUCGGAAGAGGAUGGGCAUGCGGCGCAUUAGCUAGACGGCGGGGUAACGGCCCACCGUGGCGACGAUGCGUAGGGGUUCUGAGAGGAAGGUCCCCCACACUGGUACUGAGACACGGACCAGACUCCUACGGGAGGCAGCAGUGAGGAAUAUUGGUCAAUGGGAGAGAUCCUGAACCAGCCAAGCCGCGUGAGGGAAGACGGCCCUAUGGGUUGUAAACCUCUUUUGUCGGAGAACAAAACCCGGGACGAGUCCCGGACUGCGUGUAUCCGAAGAAAAAGCAUCGGCUAACUCCGUGCCAGCAGCCGCGGUAAUACGGAGGAUGCGAGCGUUAUCCGGAUUUAUUGGGUUUAAAGGGUGCGUAGGUGGUCCGUUAAGUCAGCGGUAAAAUUGCGGGGCUCAACCCCGUCGAGCCGUUGAAACUGGCAGACUUGAGUUGGCGAGAAGUACGCGGAAUGCGCGGUGUAGCGGUGAAAUGCAUAGAUAUCGCGCAGAACUCCGAUUGCGAAGGCAGCGUACCGGCGCCAGACUGACGCUGAGGCACGAAAGCGUGGGGAUCGAACAGGAUUAGAUACCCUGGUAGUCCACGCAGUAAACGAUGAAUGCUGGUUGUCCGGGGCGAUUGAGUUCUGGGUGACACAGCGAAAGCGUUAAGCAUUCCACCUGGGGAGUACGCCGGCAACGGUGAAACUCAAAGGAAUUGACGGGGGCCCGCACAAGCGGAGGAACAUGUGGUUUAAUUCGAUGAUACGCGAGGAACCUUACCCGGGCUCAAACGGGAGUGGAAUGGACCAGAGACGGUUCAGCCUACGGGCCGCUUCCGAGGUGCUGCAUGGUUGUCGUCAGCUCGUGCCGUGAGGUGUCGGCUUAAGUGCCAUAACGAGCGCAACCCCCGCCGGCAGUUGCUAACGGGCAAUGCCGAGGACUCUGCCGGGACUGCCGCCGCAAGGCGUGAGGAAGGCGGGGAUGACGUCAAAUCAGCACGGCCCUUACGUCCGGGGCGACACACGUGUUACAAUGGCAGGUACAGCGGGAAGCCAGGCGGCGACGCCGAGCGGAACCCGAAAGCCGUUCUCAGUUCGGAUCGGAGUCUGCAACCCGACUCCGUGAAGCUGGAUUCGCUAGUAAUCGCGCAUCAGCCAUGGCGCGGUGAAUACGUUCCCGGGC
rnacentral:rRNA from 1 species